UGUUCAGUUGGGAUAACCGCUGAAAGCAUCUAAGCGGGAAGCCUGCCUCAAGAUAAGCUCUCCCGGGGCGCAAGCCCCCUAAAGGACACUUGUAGACUACGAGUUUGAUAGGCUGGGUGUGGAAGGCUCGUAAGGGCUGUAGCUAACCAGUACUAAUCGUCCGUGCGGCUUAACAUC
rnacentral:rRNA from 1 species